rnacentral:rRNA from 1 species
GUGAGGAAUUUUCCGCAAUGGGCGAAAGCCUGACGGAGCAAUGCCGCGUGAAGGAUGAAGGCCUAUGGGUUGUAAACUUCUUUUCUCAGAAAAGAAUUAUGACGGUAUCUGAGGAAUAAGCAUCGGCUAACUCUGUGCCAGCAGCCGCGGUAAGACAGAGGAUGCAAGCGUUAUCCGGAAUGAUUGGGCGUAAAGCGUCUGUAGGUUGUUUAAAAAGUAUUCUGUUAAAGAUUAGGGCUUAACCCUAGAUAGGCAGAAUAAACUUUUAAGCUAGAGUGUGGUAGAGGCAGAGGGAAUUCCCGGUGGAGCGGUGAAAUGCGUAGAUAUCGGGAGGAACACCAAAGGCGAAGGCACUCUGCUGGGCCAAUACUAACACUGAGAGACGAAAGCGAGGGGAGCAAAUGGGAUUAGAUACCCCUGUAGUCC